rnacentral:rRNA from 1 species
AUUGAACGCUGGCGGCAGGCCUAACACAUGCAAGUCGAGCGGAUGAAGGGAGCUUGCUCCUGGAUUCAGCGGCGGACGGGUGAGUAAUGCCUAGGAAUCUGCCUGGUAGUGGGGGAUAACGUCCGGAAACGGGCGCUAAUACCGCAUACGUCCUGAGGGAGAAAGUGGGGGAUCUUCGGACCUCACGCUAUCAGAUGAGCCUAGGUCGGAUUAGCUAGUUGGUGGGGUAAAGGCCUACCAAGGCGACGAUCCGUAACUGGUCUGGGAGGAUGAUCAGUCACACUGGACCUAGGACCCGGUCCGACCUCCUCGGGGGGGCACCGGUGGGGAUUUUUGGACAUGGGGCGAAACCCUGUCCCCCCCAGCCCGCGGUUGUGAAGAAGGUCUUCGGUUUGUAAAGCCCUUUAAUUUGGGAGGAAGGGCGGUAAGUUAAUUCCUUGCUGUUUUGACGUUACCAACAAAAUAAGCACCGGCUAACUUCUU